GACGAACGCUGGCGGCGUGCUUAACACAUGCAAGUCCAACGGAAAGGCCCUGCUUUUGUGGGGUGCUCGAGUGGCGAACGGGUGAGUAACACGUGAGUAACCUGCCCUUGACUUUGGGAUAACUUCAGGAAACUGGGGCUAAUACCGGAUAGGAGCUCCUGCUGCAUGGUGGGGGUUGGAAAGUUUCGGCGGUUGGGGAUGGACUCGCGGCUUAUCAGCUUGUUGGUGGGGUAGUGGCUUACCAAGGCUUUGACGGGUAGCCGGCCUGAGAGGGUGACCGGCCACAUUGGGACUGAGAUACGGCCCAGACUCCUACGGGAGGCAGCAGUGGGGAAUGUUGCACAAUGGGCGGAAGCCUGAUGCAGCAACGCCGCGUGCGGGAUGACGGCCUUCGGGUUGUAAACCGCUUUCGCCUGUGACGAAGCGUGAGUGACGGUAAUGGGUAAAGAAGCACCGGCUAACUACGUG
rnacentral:rRNA from 1 species